rnacentral:rRNA from 1 species
AGAACGAACGCUGGCGGCAUGCCUAAUACAUGCAAGUCGAACGAACUCUUCGGAGUUAGUGGCGCACGGGUGCGUAACGCGUGGGAAUCUGCCCCUUGGUUCGGAAUAACAGUUGGAAACGACUGCUAAUACCGGAUGAUGACGAAAGUCCAAAGAUUUAUCGCCAAGGGAUGAGCCCGCGUAGGAUUAGCUAGUUGGUGAGGUAAAGGCUCACCAAGGCAACGAUCCUUAGCUGGUCUGAGAGGAUGAUCAGCCACACUGGGACUGAGACACGGCCCAGACUCCGUACGGGAGCAGCAA